GUCCCUGUCGUCUAGCGGCCCAGGACGCUGUUAUCCCUCUUGUCGAAGGCUUGCAACGGAAAUAGGGGGGCUCGAUACGGAAACCAGGGUUCGAAUCCCUGUAGGGACG
rnacentral:tRNA from 1 species